rnacentral:rRNA from 1 species
GUCGAGCGAACAGACGAGGAGCUUGCUCCUCUGACGUUAGCGGCGGACGGGUGAGUAACACGUGGAUAACCUACCUAUAAGACUGGGAUAACUUCGGGAAACCGGAGCUAAUACCGGAUAAUAUAUUGAACCGCAUGGUUCAAUAGUGAAAGACGGUUUUGCUGUCACUUAUAGAUGGAUCCGCGCCGCAUUAGCUAGUUGGUAAGGUAACGGCUUACCAAGGCAACGAUGCGUAGCCGACCUGAGAGGGUGAUCGGCCACACUGGAACUGAGGCACGGUCCAGACUCCUACGGGAGGCAGCAGUAGGGAAUCUUCCGCAAUGGGCGAAAGCCUGACGGAGCAACGCCGCGUGAGUGAUGAAGGUCUUCGGAUCGUAAAACUCUGUUAUUAGGGAAGAACAAAUGUGUAAGUAACUAUGCACGUCUUGACGGUACCUAAUCAGAAAGCCACGGCUAACUACGUGCCAGCAGCCGCGGUAAUACGUAGGUGGCAAGCGUUAUCCGGAAUUAUUGGGCGUAAAGCGCGCGUAGGCGGUUUUUUAAGUCUGAUGUGAAAGCCCACGGCUCAACCGUGGAGGGUCAUUGGAAACUGAAAAACUUGAGUGCAGAAGAGGAAAGUGGAAUUCCAUGCGUAGCGGUGAAAUGCGCAGAGAUAUGGAGGAACACCAGUGGCGAAGGCGACUUUCUGGUCUGUAACUGACGCUGAUGUGCGAAA